UACAGAGGUCCCGAGCGUUGUUCGGAUUCAUUGGGCGUAAAGGGUGCGUAGGCGGCUUUCUAAGUCUGAUGUGAAAUCCUGGGGCUCAACCCUGGAGCUGCAUUGGAUACUGGGAGGCUAGAGAACUGGAGAGGAGACUGGAAUUUACGGUGUAGCAGUGAAAUGCGUAGAGAUCGGGAGGAACACCGGUGGCGAAGGCGGCGAGCUGGUCCAUUACUGACGCUGAGGCGCGACAGCGUGGGGAGCAAACAGG
rnacentral:rRNA from 1 species